AGGCCAGUGACUGAGAAAAAUAAAAUUCCCAGGAUGCUAUUUCCAGACUUGUGUAUUCAAAAAAAUAACAAAACGGUCUGAUGGGUCAAAGCAGUACAAGAGUUCACUGCCACAAAGGAAAGCAUAACACUCCCAUUCCUAAUGAGGUAAAAAAGCUAACCUGAAUAAAAAGAGCUCCAUCAAGAUAUGAAGGGGAACUGGGAGAUCAUCUAGGUCAUAUCCUUCAUUUUAUGGAAUGAGGAAACAGAGCUCUCCAGAAAUUACACAACUUGCCCAGGGUCACCCAGAUUGAUGUUGGUGGCAAAACCAGCACCAAGAUACACACUAUCCCUGGACCCCAGUCUAAGGCUUAUUCCACCAGCCUGCCUGACCCUUGUACUAAGCAGGAGGUCUCCUCCAGAAAAUAGUACACCAUCUGGGACUCAAUCAAAAUGGUCUGUCUUAAUAAAA
ensembl:lncRNA SCEL-AS1 SCEL antisense RNA 1